AGAGUUUGAUCCUGGCUCAGAAUCAACGCUGGCGGCGUGCCUAACACAUGCAAGUCGCACGAGAAAGGGACUUCGGUCCUGAGUACAGUGGCGCACGGGUGAGUAACACGUGAAUCUUCUACCUUCGAGUGGGGAAUAACUGAGAGAAAUCUUAGCUAAUACCGCAUAAUACCCACGGGUCAAAGCAGCAAUGCGCUUGAAGAGGAGUUCGCGGCAGAUUAGUUAGUUGGCGGGGUAAUGGCCCACCAAGACGAUGAUCUGUAUCCGGCCUGAGAGGGCGCACGGACACACUGGAACUGAAACACGGUCCAGACUCCUACGGGAGGCAGCAGUGGGGAAUUUUGCGCAAUGGGGGAAACCCUGACGCAGCAACGCCGCGUGGAGGAUGAAAUCCCUUGGGAUGUAAACUCCUUUCGAUAGG
rnacentral:rRNA from 1 species